ACUUGCCUUGGCCUGUCAAGACUCCUCAUUUUACUCCAAAAAUGAAGUCCUUGUCUCAGCUCCUGUGGCUGUUAAUGCUCUGGAUCCCUGGUUCCAGUGGAGAUGUUGUGAUGACCCAGACCCCGAGUUCCCUGCCUGUCACCCUGGGACAGCUGGCUUCCAUCUCCUGCAGGUCUAGUCAGAGUCUCCUGUAUAGUGAUGGAAACACCUAUUUGGAAUGGUACCUUCAGAAGCCAGGCCAGUCUCCACAACUACUGAUGUAUUUGGUUUCCAAACGAGCAUCUGGGGUCCCAGACAGAUUAAGUGGUAGUGGGGCAGGCACAGAUUUCACACUGACAAUCAGCAGGGUGGAAGCUGGGGAUGUUGGAGUUUAUUACUGUUUUCAAGCUACACAUGAUCCUCCCACAGUGAUACAGCCUUGAACAAAAACCUCCUCUCUGGCUGGGUGAGCUGCCCUCAUGGCUGGCUGAUCUGGGGAGCAGCCCAGCAGAUUGUGUGAGUCUGCCUAGGAGGAAGAUGUUGAGAUUAAUGUGAGAGUGACUCUGAGAGGAAAUGAAGAGUCUGUGACAAUAUGACAAAAUACUAUCUAUAAUGACCAGCAGAACAAUUAUCUGAAUAUAAAGACCAGGAGACUUCAGAUAAACCAUAAGGAAUUUUUGAAAAAUUUCUCUCUUCAGUAAUAUUAGAACCAACCAAUAAUCUAUGAAUCAAAUGACUUCUUUGAUUUUAUUCCCUUUGUAAUGAAACUCAUAAUACUUCCUUCAAGCACAUCCAAGCCUACAACUUCAGCAUAUCCUGUGCUUUCUGUUCAGAAGAAGCCCAGUUGUACCUUAUCUAGCUUCUGCUCUGCGUGUUCAUCAAACCCUGCCUAACCAUCAAGCCAUUAGCAGAGUUUUAUCAUCGCCUCUUGGUUGGAUCAACCUGAGAAAGAUACAAAAUUGCACAUAGCCAGUGGUCUCUGAAUUCUGUGUCCUGGGGCUCUGGAUCUAAUUAAGAGAAUGGAUUGGGGUCAAGCCUGGGAAUAUGCUUCAUAUGUCCCAGAAGUUUGAGACUGAGCCCUUGUUCAAUGGGCACAGCAUUCACAGUCCAACCUGUUCAACCUCCAUGCCUUCAUAUAAAAACCAUGUCAAGAGGGAAUCUU